rnacentral:rRNA from 1 species
GGAUUAGAUACCCUGGUAGUCCACGCCCUAAACGAUGCGAACUGGAUGUUGGGUUCAAUUUGGGACUCAGUAUCGAAGCUAACGCGUUAAGUUCGCCGCCUGGGGAGUACGGUCGCAAGACUGAAACUCAAAGGAAUUGACGGGGGCCCGCACAAGCGGUGGAGUAUGUGGUUUAAUUCGAUGCAACGCGAAGAACCUUACCUGGUCUUGACAUCCGCGGAACUGCCCAGAGAUGGGCGGGUGCCUUCGGGAGCCGCGAGACAGGUGCUGCAUGGCUGUCGUCAGCUCGUGCC